CAGGAGGAUUGCUGCAGGUUUAAGCCAGGCUGGUCUUUUAAACAUUACAGUUAUUAAAGCGGGAUGAUAAAGCUCCAGAGGGUUCAGAUGUGACCCACUUGGAGUCACUGGACCUGCUCCAUUCUCGUCAGAUCUGGCUGUGACCAAACCUGGCAGGAAGCUGAACUGGGUUGGCAGUUUUUCCGAGUCUGUCUAGAAGAGAGGGCACCUGACACAAUGUGGCCCCGAGAGUGAUAGCCUGCUGCACAGGCCACUGCCGGAGCAGAGCGUGGGAGUGGGGUAGGGAAACGAGAGCUCUCUCUUCCCCGCUCUGUGCUCUGGAGGUCCGCCUCAGAGAUGAGUCAGGUCCCAGCCUCACUGCGGGGUGAGCUGUGUGUGGGCUGCCAGGCUGUUUCUGUGAGCCACUUGAUGGAAGUCACCUUGGCUGGCGGAGGAAGGGCAGUUGCCCUCCUGUGGGAAAGACAGGAAAUGAUUUCCACGUCGCUCCUAGGGUAGUCCUCGGUGUGGCACACUGGCCUCUGAUUGGAUGUGCCUGGCUCCAGAGCGGUUUCUGUGGAGAUGCUGCGCCAGGCAAGUGGCUAUGGCUCCGACACAGCCACAGAAUGAGUUACGGGAGAUAAAAAUUCAGGCGGCCAACCUUCCAGACCUUCAAAGUACUGACCACUGGGGUUGAAUAGAGCAUCCAGAUCAAAUCUACGUGAGGCAGUGAAUCUCAAGUAGUCAACUCUACCUGUGAGCACAUAUCUGAGGACAUCAGUGUCUUCAGGGAGCUCUGGAACCUGGAUGGCCCUUCCAAGUUGUCUAAGCCCUGCAGGGUGCUGGAUCCGGGAAUGUGCAGGCUCCUUACCGUUUGGAAGCAGGAAUUCUGCAAGGCUCAGAGCUGCAGGUGUUCCAUCCACCCUUCACCAGCUAGGCAGAGCUGCACUUCCUGUGGAUGAGACCCACAGAAAUGCGAAGAUCAACUGGGCAGCAAGUGUCAAUCACCUACUGAAUGUCACUGCUCCUCACGUCACCAGAACAGACCGUUGUGUGAAUAAGAAUGACGUCUACGAGCACCCGCCGUGCUCCACUGAAUGUAUGGGAUGCUCCUGGGAUUGGGCCAAGAGGUUCAACUCCAGCACCAGAGGGAGCAGGAUGCCAGGAGAGGCCAGCUUUGCGAACUCCCAACCCCCCCGGUUCUCAGUGGCGGAAGACUGAGUGUACAGGGACCAAGGUGGCUUGUGGUUGAGCUGAGACCACUGCACUUGGAGCGUCUGUAGCUCCAGACCCCUUCGCUUUCCUGACCCUACGGAUGAGGUGAUUCACGCUUGCUUCCUAUUCUGUCUUCAUGAAGUCAAGGAUGCACUUAGCACCCGUAUUAGUCUAUUCUGGCUCCGAGAAGAGCAUGCUGUAGACUGGGUGGCUUCUAAACAACAGACCUUGAUCUCUUGGCUGUGAAGACUGACGAGUUCAAGAUCAAGAGAUUCAGUGUCUCACAAAGGCCAGCUUCCGAUGACUUCUUCUCUUCAUGUCCUCCCGUGCCCGAGGGACAGAGUCUUCGGGUCUCAUUCACAAGGGCACUAUCCCCAGGGUCUAGUCAGCCCCCAAAGGUCUGCUUCCUGAUCCUAUCACACCACGGACCAGGAUUGCAACCUUUGAUUGGAGGGUGGGGCAUAAAUAUCCAGUCACUGACAACACCCUUCCAGAGCCCUUAGGAUUCAAAAUGAUAAGCGAAUUCUCCAUUCUGGAACUGAAACCACCUUCUGGAAAGAAAUAUAUAGAAAGAGAAAGUAUACUAGUGUCAAGAAGAGAGAACGUUCCCGCUUUCCCAAAGAUAACUGCUGUGAAUCUGGGGUGAUCCGAUCAAAACGUUAAUGUCUUCAUAACUUUGAUGAAACUGUCUCCACCCUUGCAGCAACCCAUUCACGCCCUUAGACCAUCAACUCCUAAACUCUGUGGACAUCAUUUUAACUCCCCAGUAAGAGGAUUGUCUGUAGCCUUAGCCUAUUCGCUGUAACCCCUAUACAAGUGGCCAUCUCAGCAGCUCUAGAUUCUAGAUCACAGGACAGUGGAUAUGUUUGCUUAUAAAGAUAUUUUGACGUUUUAGUUUAUGACUCACAUGGAUCGCCAGAGUGGGGAUGAGGAGACCAAAAGACAUGUCUAAGGCUCUUAGUACGUCUUUUCAAAUUGCCUUCCAAAUGGGUCAGAUUAAUUUGUAUCUUAUUCGGGAUCUGUACUGGCUGUUUUGUGUGUCAACCUGACACA